AAAGUUACCCUUCUCCAUCUUCUAAAGUGAACACAACUGGUUCAUGCCAUAAGUUUGGAGUAUGAGAGACAAUGCCUCAUGGUUUGUACCUGUCUCCUCUCCUUUGGUCACGAUGGAAACCUUUAUUCACAGUCCGCUCGAGAUAACCCCUUUUUUUUUUUUUUUAAUAAGCCUUCUUAUCUCCUUUUUUAGGGUAACAAAAUCUUUGAUGUCAUGACCCUUAUAUUUAUGAAACAAAUAAUAUUGUUUCUGAUUCUAAUUCUUCAUUUUCAUAUGAGGGGAUGAUUCACAUACCUUUUCUUUUAUAUAGUUGUAAAGACUCCAGCUUAAAGUGGUGUUCCAUGAUGUGACUUAGAGCUCUAGGAAUAUAAGGUGGUUGUGCAGAUACCCUUCAAAGUUUUUCUUGUAUGUUCAUGGGCUAUAUAGAGACUGACCAUGCUUUGGUUGUUCAUCACUCCACUUGCAAAGAUGAGUGUGCAUUAAUAUUUAAUAAUGAAAACUCAUUGAUAUGAUUAUUGAAA